rnacentral:rRNA from 1 species
CCUACGGGAGGCAGCAGUGAGGAAUAUUGGUCAAUGGUCGAGAGUCUGAACCAGCCAAGUAGCGUGAAGGAUGACUGCCCUAUGGGUUGUAAACUUCUUUUAUACGGGAAUAAAAUGUUUCACGUGUGGGAUUUUGUAUGUACCAUAUGAAUAAGGAUCGGCUAACUCCGUGCCAGCAGCCGCGGUAAUACGGAGGAUCCGAGCGUUAUCCGGAUUUAUUGGGUUUAAAGGGAGCGUAGGUGGAUUGUUAAGUCAGUUGUGAAAGUGUGUGGCUCAAGCGUAAAAUUGCGGUUGAAACUGGCAGUCUUGAGUACAGUAGAGGUGUGCGGAAUUCGUGGUGUAGCGGUGAAAUGCUUAGAUAUCACGAAGAACUCCGAUUGCGAAGGCAGUUCACUGGACUGCAACUGACACUGAGGCUCGAAAGUGUGGGUAUCAAACAGGAUUAGAUACCCUUGUAGUC